UUUUUUUCUUGGUUAAAUUAAAUUUUAUUUUCAUUUAGUCAAUUUUACCUAGAUUUGGUUUUAGGGUUAAGUGGGUAAAAAAACAUUAUCUAUAUAAAGGAAGUGGGUAUUGCUUGAGAAGCAGCAAAAUCAAAACCCAUUUUCUAAGAUGAGGUCUCCAAUGGCCUCUCUCAUUGCCACCCUUCUAGUGGUGUCAGUCUCUCUAUGUUUGCCAUCGGAAACCUCCGCAGAUCAGUACUCUUACCUCUCUCCUCCACCUCCCAAGAAAUCCCCACCACCACCGGUUUAUUCCCCACCUUACCAUUACAAAUCUCCACCUCCUCCAGUGCACUCUCCACCUCCACCACCACCCAAGGAACAUUAUAAAUAUAAGUCUCCACCACCACCACCUAAAGAGCAUUACAAAUACAAGUCUCCACCACCANNNNNNN
rnacentral:lncRNA from 1 species